AAAAUAUAAUAUUUUAUUUUAGAACUGACAAUAGCUGUAGUUCGUUUCGAGGUGUUGCACAGUUAAUAUUGUACCUUAAAGCAAUAUUUUCUGUGUGAACCUCGGAUUGGACUUUGGAUUUUCAACUUUUGUCCUGGAUUUACGAUUAAAAAUAUUGUUGAUA